CAGCGCCAGGUAAGUUGCUCUUUCCCUCCUUGCAUUUUAAUUACAUGCUCUUGUAGCAGGCCUGCUGGUAAAAACUAAAAAAGCAAUGGCCAGCCGGGUCAAGCUUGUGACCCGGUUAGGCCUGCUGGGUCCAGCCCAGCCCCAAAAAAAAUAUAUAUAUAAAAAAAAAAAUGUGUAUGCAUGAAUAAAAAUAAUGUAAAUUUAUUGGUUUAUUCACUGAAGUCAGAGUCAGGAAUAAAAAUACCGGUUUAAAUUUAUAUUAUUUUUAUUCGUUGUAUUUUAUUUUAUUUAGCUAGAAAUAUAAAAAAUAUUUGCAUUGGUAAAAAAUAAAUUUAUUAUUAUUUAUUUAUUCACUGGCGCCAGAGUCGGGAAUAAAAUAAAAUAUUGAUCUAAUUUAUUUUAUAGCUACGUAAUAUUUACCAACGCCAGAGUUGGAAAUAUUCGUAGUUGAAUAUUCACUGGCGUCAUAGUCAGGAAUAUUAUAAGCAAAUUUUCAUAGCAUAAACUAAUAAACAUUUAGCAAUUUAAGACGAAACUAUCAAUGCAGCCAGCCUUAGGUAGGACGUUUAAGGGGUGAUAAUAUCUUUCCUUUUACGUAACUAGUCCCGAGCCAUAGAAUCUCUGUUGACCAGUUAGGGUUCCUAGUGACCGUAAUACUAGGUGGCGACUCCUUAAACAAAGACAAUUUCCCAUUAAAGUACUGGAUGCCAUAAAUCCAUUCUUUCCAUGAUAUACUUUUAUUUUUAAGGCCGCCGCGAUGUCGGGUGCGACAAUUUUUGUUAUUAAAAUAAGAAUAAAUAAAUGAAUAACAAAGAGAAACAACUGGCUAAAUAAACAAUUUUUCCAUCAUAAGUUUAAAUUUUUUAUCAACAACAUAAUUUUUUGAAUAAAAAAUUAAAAGUUAUAUUGAUUUAAAUCAUAAAACUAGAACUGUUUUCUACUUCUCUUGUAAUAAAUUUGUAUUUCUUAAGAACACAAUAAGGUCACCCUUCACUUUUUUUUUCUCAUUCUAUAAACGAUUGCAUCUAGGUGAUGUAAUAAAAUGUUUUCGAAGUUGAUUCUUGAUGGAAAGGAUAAUGGAGAUAGAGUUUUUAUGAGCCACAUUAAGGUGAUAAAAAAAUAUCAAUUUUAAUGGAGAUAGGUUUAUCUAUAAAAGAAAUAAUCAAUAGAAGUAAUUAAUAGAGGUGGUUUAGAUCUCUAACUAUGUAAGAAAAACAAUCAUUGUUUGGAAAGAGUUUUUUUAUUCAAUUUGAUUUUUAGUUUUUAGACUAAUAAAAAAAUGUUUUUGAAUUUUAGAUUACAAUAAGUUGAAGUUUAGGGAUUUUAAAUUAAAAUACCUUAAAUCUUGAUUUCUCGCUCAGUAAAAGUGAUUAAAAUUUAUUAUAAUGGAUGACAUAUCACAUGAUUAGAUAAAUUAUAUGUUAUUUAUUUAUGUUUUUAAAAAUAAAGGUAGAUCCGCAAGCUUGACCUUCUAAGUCUAUACAUGUCAGAGUUUUCUAUUAGUAAGGCACGCAAGCCCAGCAAUCUAGGCUCAUGCACACCUAACCUCUAUAGACUCUUUUUUUUAAAAUAUUAAAACAUAAUUAUUUUUAAUUAAAUAAUUACAAUAAUGUUUUAAAAAUCACUAAAUUAUGUUAUAUGUUUUUUAAAAGAUUAUAAUUCUUUAUGGUUAUAUUUAUAUUUUUUUUAUAAUCAUAUAUGAAAUUACUAUGCAUGAUAUUUUAAAACAAAGCACAUUAAUAUUCAAUAAGAAUAUAUUUUUUUGUUUCUAUACUUUCAAUUUUUUAUGUUGUUUCAUUUUAUUUUUCAUAUAGUCACACAUAAAUAAUCGGUUAAGAAAUCAUGAUAAAUAUUUAUAUAAAAAACAGAUUUUUAAUAAUUUUAUUUUAUAAAAAAAGUGAACGAAUAACGAAGAGAAAAGACUGGUUAAAUAAACUAUUUUUUCAUCCUAAGUUUAAAUAAUUUAAACCACUAUAAUUGUUUAUUUUAAUACUUUUAAUUUCUUAUUAAAAAAAAUUAUGUUGUUGAUAAGAAAUUUAAUGGCUUUGUCAUAUAAAAAUAGAAAUGCAUAAAAGGAAAAUAGAGAAUUUUAACUAAAAAACUACAUCUUUUUCUCUAAAAAAUAAAUUAUUUGAAAUUCCUUUAAGUAAUUUUUUAAUCACUGUGAAAUUAAAUAUUAAUUGGUUUUAAAAAUUACUCGAUGUCGCUUGAAAAUUAAAACCCGAGUGGAUUUCUAAUCAUUCUUGUCGUCCGGUCAAGUUUGGUGACGAGUGUCGUUUUUUUUAAACAAGUAGACGAGGUUAGAAUUUUAGCGAACGUCAGGAUUCUUUAAUUUUUAUUUAGCUCAAGACGGGUUUCGAAAAUACGUCUUUAGAGUUUAGACAUAACUAAGGAGUAAAGACGUCUUGAGAACCCCACUCGACUUUACUAGGCACCUCCAGUUGUGACUCGCCGCCUAUAAAUAAAGGAAGCCUUGCCCCUUUUCGCCCAUCUUGGAACCUCGACCUCGACAGCAUCUCCGUAGCAAAAGAAAGAAAAGAAAAUGGCUGCAAACCAGAGGCCAAAUCUUGGUUUCGAGAGAGACAGCAUCGCUGUGCAUCAUGGAGUCUUCGCUCUGCUCGUGGACACAUUAAAUAAACAGAUCCAAGUGAAAUACCAAUCCAUGCCCACUUCUCCAUACGAUACUAACAAGUGGGUCAUGUCAGCAUUUUUGGCGGCUCUAUUUGUAUACGCGACAGCAUCGGUGGCCGAGGCGAUACCGCGGAGCCAGGAAUCAGUUUACCAGAGGCUUGCCGGCAACAUCCGCCUCUUUGCCAGCGCCCUUGCUACAGUUUUCCUUCUGGUGCUUCUUAUCCCAGCUUGGGGGUAGUGUAUCAUUUCUGUUCCGUGGAUUUGUUUAUUUGUGUCAAGAAUUCUACCAAUUGCUAAGCCGAGCAUGUACUGACAUGCUGGAAAAGCUAUUUGAAGGUGAGAGGAGCCGUAAAGAGGACCCAAGCAAGUCAGCAGAAAGUGUAGCAUUGUAUUAAAUGAUUGCCUUCGAUUCACUUGCUUCCGCCCACCCAUUCUCUUCACAUGUAUUCUUAGAUUGUCAAGAUAUGUUGUAUUUGUUGUUGUACAAGAGAAUUGAAUAGAGAAGAGGCCAUUUUUUCUGUGA